ACCAAUACUAGCCCAAUAAUUAUUUAAUCAAACUAUAAAAACCUUUAUAAACUAAAACAUUUAUAAUUCAUGAGUAUAGGAGAUAGAAAAUAUAAAAUGGCGCUAUAGAGAAAGUACCGUAAGGGAAAGAUUGAAAGAAUCUAUUUAAAGUAUAAAAAAGCAAAGAUUAAAUCUUGUACCUUUUGCAUAAUGGAUUAGCUAGAAAUAUUUAGCACAGAGGACUUAAGUUAAAAAUCCCGAAAUCAAACGAGCUACUUAAUGACAGCUAUAAGAGCCAACUCAUCUAUGUGGCAAAAUAGUGAGAAGAUCAAUAAGUAGAGGUGAAAAGCCAAACGAGCUUGAUGAUAGCUGGUUACUCAGAAAAGAAUUUAAGUUCAACUUUAAAUUUACCUAUAAGUAUAAAAUUAAAAUGUAAAUUUAAAAGCUAUUCUAAAGAGGUACAGCUCUUUAGAACAAGGAUACAACCUUAAUUAGAGAAUAAAUAAAAAUAUUACCAUAGUGGGCCUAAAAGCAGCCAUCAAUUAAGAAAGCGUUAAAGCUCAACAAAAUCCUAUUACUAAUUCCAACAUUAUUUAUGCAUUUCCUAAUUCAAAAACUGAGUUAAUCUAUACUAUUAGAAGAAAUAAUGCUUAUAUAAGUAACAAGAAAUAUUUCUCCUUUGCACAAGUUUAUAUCAGACCGAAUAACUCACUGAUAGUUAACAAUAAUAUAAACACAACCAAAAAAUUAAUUAUCUUAUUAAUUAUACUGUUAACCCAACACAGGAGUGCAUAAAGGAAAGGCAAAAAGAAGCAAAAGGAACUCGGCAAAAACAAACCCCGCCUGUUUACCAAAAACAUCACCUCUAGCAUUACAAGUAUUAGAGGCAAUGCCUGCCCGGUGACAUUAGUUAAACGGCCGCGGUACUCUGACCGUGCAAAGGUAGCAUAAUCACUUGUUCUUUAAUUAAGGACUUGUAUGAAAGGCCACACGAGGGUUUAACUGUCUCUUGUAUCUAGCCAGUGAAAUUGAUCUCUCCGUGAAGAGGCGGGGAUAAUUAAAUAAGACGAGAAGACCCUAUGGAGCUUUAAUUUAAUUACUCAAUAUUUAUUAUAUAAUAAAUCAAAAGAAAUAAAAUAACAACAUAUGAGUAAUAAAUUUUGGUUGGGGUGACCUCGGAGAAUAAAAAAUCCUCCGAGAGAUUAAGAAUAAGACCUACUAGUCGAAACUUAUUAAAUCUAAUUGAUCCAAAUUAAUUUGAUCAACGGAACAAGUUACCCUAGGGAUAACAGCGCAAUCCUACUUGAGAGUCCAUAUCGAAGGUAGGGUUUACGACCUCGAUGUUGGAUCAGGACAUCCCGAUGGUGCAACAGCUAUCAAAGGUUCGUUUGUUCAACGAUUAAAGUCCUACGUGAUCUGAGUUCAGACCGGAGUGAUCCAGGUCGGUUUCUAUCUAUUAAACUAUUCCUCUUAGUACGAAAGGACCAGAGAAAUGAGGCCUACUUUACAUAAGCGCCUUAACUUAAAAUGAUGAUAUACUCUUAAUCUAAUAGUUAAACUAAACCCUAGAUAAGGGGUU
rnacentral:rRNA from 1 species